GACCGCGAUCGAUAGAAUCGAUAGAAUCCAAAUCUCCUGAAAAUGGUGGUGUCACUGAAUGAUAUUCGUCUUUAUCUUUCCCAGGGGACUUAUGUCAAACACCAGCAGGCUUCGAAACAUUUCAAGCGGAGUGUUAGGGCCGCUGCUGGGAACUUCUGUCUUCGUGAAGAGGUCCUGUACCAUGGGAACAGAAGGGUCAUUUGGACAGAGGAGGAGAAAGUGGCUGUGUUAACCAAAGCCCAUGCAUGCAGGCCAUUUUGGACCACGGAGGAUGCAAGCGAAGAUUGCUCCCCGGUUUUAUUGGCGGUCCAUCACAAAGGACACAUUGGAUUGGGUGCGCACAUGUCCUGACUGCCAGCGCUUUGAAAAAUGAAAGACCGAGGCGCCUGAGCUGAAGCCCAUCAAGGUCGUAUCACCUUGGUACAUGGUUGUACUCCCUCUGGCUCUGUACGGACACUACUUUUCACUACAGUGUGCUGGACAUGCAGUCAAUCCGGCGUUGGUGGUGUGUCCUUCUAAUGGAGCGCUUUGGCAUUGAAGGGUAGGACAACUUCUUGAAAUAUCUGCUGUAUUGUUUAUCAUGAUUAGUAACUGCCUGCGAUGAGGUGGCGACUUGUCCAGGGUGUACCCUGCCUUCCGCCCGAAUGCAGCUGAGAUAGGCUACAGCGACCCCCCGCGACCCCAAAAAGGGACAAGCGGUAGAAAAUGGAUGGAUGGAUGGAUGGAUGGAUUAGUAACUGUAAUCUGAAGAGCUUUUCUUCAAUUUCCCCAAAGGCAUGGCCAGAGGUUCUGUUAUUGGACAGACAAGGCGAGCGGCUUAUUGCAGGGCAUUCUUCAGCCAGUCUUUAGUGUAUCCAGAAACUCAGUCCAGGCCAUCGACUGCGUCAUCAAAGAUUAACUGAAUACAGUACUGGUGCAGCUCGCGCAAUGUUUGGAACAAAACAUUUGUAGACAAUAAAAAAACAUUUUACAUUGC